CUUGAUCAAUUAUAAGAGGUCAAGCCUGCCCAGUGACAUUGUUCAACGGCCGCGGUAUCCUAACCGUGCGAAGGUAGCGUAAUCACUUGUCCUUUAAAUAAGGACUAGUAUGAACGGCUUCACGAAGGCUAUACUGUCUCCUUAAUCUAAUCAAUUAAACUAAUCUCCCCGUGAAGAAGCGGGAAUUCGUCUAUAAGACGAGAAGACCCUAUGGAGCUUUAAACAUCUAAGACACUUGAUUAUAUCUACUAAACUUCAUGCAACCUAUCAUUUUGUCUUAAGUUUUAGGUUGGGGUGACCACGGAGAAAAAUUAAACCUCCACGUAGAAAGAAAAUUCUCUUCUAAGCAAAAAGCCACAUCUUAACGCAUCAAUAUAUUGACUUAAAUUGACCCAAUUUCUUGCUCAACGAAC
rnacentral:rRNA from 1 species